CAACCCUCAAGCGCUGUUCCGCUUGGAAUUGGGGCUCUUGCAGCGAGCACCUAGUGCCCCGCAAGCCCUGAAAUUCAGCGGCGAGCCCGUCAGCACACCGAGCGCAGUAAUUAUACUUUCCGCUUAGGGCGUGCGGCGCGGCGCAGCCGACCUCUAAACUUUCCAA
rnacentral:misc_RNA from 1 species